rnacentral:ribozyme from 13 species
UUCUUUCUUCUUCUUUUGUUCUUUCUCUUUCUUUUUCUCUCCUCUUUCUUCCUCUGGAAGAGAGUUAAAAAUAGAUCUUUUCACAUAAGGAACCCAUUGAAGCUUCACUUUUGGUCCCUCACAAGAGAUUAAAAAAGAAGUAAGAGGGACAAUCAGCUCAAAUU